CACUAUACACAGUGUGUGUAGUACGUACUAUAUUCAAACAAAUAUAACUGUCGACCGCACAGCGUGCAGCAGCUCUCUAUUCGCUGAAGUAAUAAUGUUGUUGCCGUUAUUUCGGGCUGCGCGCCCAUAACUCGCCUAAAGUUUCUUUUUUCGCCCCACUUUACAUGAUUACAAAUCCAUCGGCUCUCCCCCCCACACGUAGCGGAAGAGUUGUCAUCAUUCAUGUCCGUGUUGGUUAAAUUUAGUUGGCGGAGGACUUUAAGUGGACGAAAGCGCCUUGAGGAUGUCGCGGAGUUUGGAAAGUUGAGCGCAAUAUUGAUUGCCCCUUUUUGAUCCCCGGCUACAUAAUCAAAUAACUGGGCGUCCCGUCUUUUUGUCGUCGCUUUGAUCAGAACUUGUUUGAUUCCCCUAAACUUGCCCAAUUGGUGACAAAUCCAAUAUCAACUCUCUCUCUCUCUGUGUGUGUGUGUGUGUGUGUACAAGAAUAGACGAACAAGUUUCCAGGACGAGAGAUAUGUAUAGAAUUCCUUUUUUAGACUUUUUGCUCGUAUAUUAUUACGACUUCCGUAGAAAUCCGAGCGUAUUAUUCUGUUAGAAAGUAUUACUCUGCUCAUCUAUUGGUGCUGUACUGGGAUGGAUGAGAGGGCACCACGGAGCACCCAGUGACCGUCAUCUUUUAUUUGUUUGGCCGACUACCAACUUCAAUUUUCUUUUCUUUUGCCGUCCCUUUUUGAGGGUUUCCGCGAACAAGAUUUGACGUUGAGUCAUUGAUUGCACUUGACGGAAAUCGAAUAGAGAGGCUGCUAGUCCUGCUGCGAAACUCGACCUUUUUUCCCGCCGAGAUUGCAGAAAUGCGGCCACACUCGACGGCGGCCAAAGAAAUGGCCAGGCUAUAACGUAGCGUGAGCCUUUUUUUCUCGUCCGUGAUUGGAAAAUCGGAAGAUGGACGCGGAUGUGUCGUCUCGUUCUUUUUUCCUGGAUUUUCCCGACCUGCACGACGACGGAUAUGAUGUUCGAUCGAAUUGAAUUGAAUGUUAUAUGUGUACCACGGCUUCUUUUCUUGAUCAAGAAUAUCGAUCCAAGCUGGAAAAAAAAUAAAAUAAUGAUUUCCAGUUAUUUCUUUAUAACGAAGACGUGAUGACUUUCAAUCGACCGGAUCUAAUAAUUGUAGUGCGGCGACUCUGCCAGUCCCGCUCGAUGAUGUAUUUCAAUCAGCGGGAAUCCGAAUCGCAUCAUUACCCGAAGAAGAAAAUAAAAAUCGACGCCGCCGCCGCCCCCGGAGCGUCGGCAACUUGCGUGCGUGCUGUCAGCUGCUGGCGGAUUCGGUUUCACCUUCUCAUAGCAGACACAUCCCACUCGCGUCUAAACCCAUCGGCAUAUUUACGGAGACUGAUGGAAGACAUAUGCGGCACACGUGCCCAGCACACGACGCCGGCCAAACUCUUUCAACGGCUGACAAUGAUUCGAUCCCGUUCAUCUUUCUUUCGUGCUGAUUUUUCGGCUUUCUUUUUCUCACGCUUCAUUCAGAGAUGAUAAACUUGCGUCACGUAUAGAAUCAGGGCCAUAUUUUUAGCAUUUCUCAGCGACGUCAAUGCUGGCAUUUUGCGUAUGAAAUAUCUUUGCAGCGAAGCCAAGUGACGACGACGACCUACACAAUUUCGGUCGUCCUUCACGCGGACCCGUGACCGGGUCAUGAUGAAUGGCGUCCAGUAACUAAGGAGAUUCCUGGAAUCGGAAAUUCCUCCGCAUUUCCAUUGCUAGGCACUCAAUUAGGAAAGCCAGUACACUGUGUAUAUCCAUCAUCCAAUGAAAAAUGGCAUUCUGGGAUCGUCCACGGCUGAGAUUCUUUUCCAAUCCUGUGGGUUUCGCGCGUGACACAAGUCGUGCGGAAUGAUAUAGACUCGGCUGGAUCGGAUCAGACGCACUGGACCGAACCGGACCGUACAUGUGUGUUCAAACGGUGCGGCCCGAUCCCAGAAUAGAGCAGCUGUUUGUUCUCAACCGAGGACACACUAUAUAUGCAGUCGAGUCUCGAUGUGGAACCGACACAGGCGAAAUGCACCGGACGAGAUGCUGGUGAACCUUGAAUUAUAUACACAUGUUCCUCUGCUGUUUAGUUUAGGAAUUGCUCUGCCGAGAAUUACUGCCCCCCGAGCGAUAUUAUGACAAUAAAACAAUGUAAGAUUCAACAAUGCCGUUCAUCAAUGACAAAGCUUUGAUUCGAUUAUUUCUAUUGAAUGUUCGUCAUCAGUCAUUUACGGCUGGCAUCGUCCACAAGUUUCUUUCGUAUGUAGCCCACGUAUAUCGACGGUCAUUGCCGUAGCGAAUGCUUUCUCUCUUAUCAUGCUGGCGACUACCGUCUUCCAUCUGAUGUGUGGAAUGGAGUGUUGUACAUGGGAUUAUUGUACACAAACAGUUGCCAUGUGGAAUUGCCUGGUACGGAGACUGUCUGGUCGUGGCGUAUAUACAUCUAUCGGUCAUCGACUUCUGCUUGUAGUCCUUCCGUCCUUCCUUCCCAGCGGAAAUGUAUGUAGCACCGGGCCAACUGCCAAAUUCAAAGGAGGAGACUAUGUUGACUGUUAGUUAUAUGAAUAGACGGCUGCGCAAGGAAAAUGAACUGCAGACGAUCACUUCCAUUUCCAGCAACGGGGACAUGAACAGCACAACCGGCAGCACCGGUUUAUUGUCUCAACAGUCGACCAGCCAAUUGGGGACGAUUCUAAAUGCAACAACGACGGCGAUACCCGGCAUCAUCAUCGGCACCCUCACAGCAGCAGCAGCCAACAGUUCGACGAUGAAUUCGAUAUAAUUCCGUCUAGCUAUCCGCCUGCCAUAGAUUCGAAAAAUAAAAAAAGGAAGAAAUGAAUUCGUCCAUCGCCGCCAACAACCUCUUCUCCUCCCACCAAGAAAAUUAAAAAAAGAGAAAAGUCCACCACUGUUACCAGUUGUCGUCGUCUCGUCAAACUGAUUUACAAAUAAUUGAAUUAUCAAAACAAACAAUGAACUGAAACCAAUUGUAGCUAUGAUUAAUUAUGACUGUUACUUGAUUACGUAAAAGAUAAAAUUUGAACGCGAGUGAGAACAACAGCAGCUUACACCGUAUAUAUUCUUCGUCUCAAUUUGUUCUCUUCCAAUAUAAUAUGCUGUUCAUUAAAAAAAAAAGGAAAAUUGGAAAUUGUAUUUGUCGUCUAAUGGAUCCCAGCUCCCCGAAAAUUCCUUUCCCUUUAUCUCUUCUCUGUCUUCUUCUCGUUCCCCUUUCCAUCAUCCAUCGUACACCCAUCCACCGCUGACUAUUUACAUGUUUUUGUUUCAAAAAAUGAGUAAGAGCGAAAGAAGAAGAGGGAUAUCAUUCGGUGCUGCCCACAGGAAUAAACGGGGCGCCUGCGAUGAUUGCAGCUCGAGCAUUCAGAGAUUUCUGGGUAGAAGAAAAGAAUGAAAAGAUUCGAUGAAGAAACAACAUCGUUAUUCGUUUGUCGCAGACCUUGUUUGUAUAACCUAGUCGUUGCUGACGUUGUUUAUUUGUAAAAUAUAAACCAUUUUACCCCCA